rnacentral:lncRNA from 1 species
AUCAAUCAACCGUUCACGGUCUUGCGUUUCCCAUUUCUAACUCGGAAGUAUUAGCUUCUUGGCCACUUGUCUUUGCUGCCGCUACUCAAGCUGAACAGGAAGAAGUCGCUGUUUCAGGCGAACGGUUUCCUGACAUUUGGCAGGACGACAUGUGCAUGCAUUAUAUUCUCACGGGCGCGCACAUGCCUGGCAUUUUGCUCGAUGAGCAACAUCGGGUAAUUCGCCGCACCAGGCAUUAUCGCAUGCUAGGUGGUAAUCUAUACCGCAUAUUUAGUGACUCCCGUAGUCGGUUAGUUCCCAAACCGCCUGAUCGUCUUGCACUUGUUCAGCGCACGCACGAAGAGACGGGACAUUUUGGUGUUCGUCGC